rnacentral:rRNA from 1 species
AGAGUUUGAUCCUGGCUCAGAACGAACGCUGGCGGCAUGCCUAACACAUGCAAGUCGAACGAGACCUUCGGGUCUAGUGGCGCACGGGUGCGUAACGCGUGGGAAUCUGCCCUUGGGUUCGGAACAACAGUUGGAAACGACUGCUAAUACCGGAUGAUGACUUCGGUCCAAAGGUUUAUCGCCCAAGGAUGAGCCCGCGUAGGAUUAGCUUGUUGGUGAGGUAAAAGCUCACCAAGGCGACGAUCCUUAGCUGGUCUGAGAGGAUGAUCAGCCACACUGGGACUGAGACACGGCCCAGACUCCUACGGGAGGCAGCAGUGGGGAAUAUUGGACAAUGGGCGAAAGCCUGAUCCAGCAAUGCCGCGUGAGUGAUGAAGGCCUUAGGGUUGUAAAGCUCUUUUACCCGGGAUGAUAAUGACAGUACCGGGAGAAUAAGCCCCGGCUAACUCCGUGCCAGCCGCCGCGGUAAUAC